GCUUACGGCCACACCACCCUGAGCGCGCCCUGAUCUCGUCUGAUCUCGGAAGCUAAGCAGGGUCGGGCCUGGUUAGUACUUGGAUGGGAGACCGCCUGGGAAUACCAGGUGCCGUAAGCU
ensembl:rRNA 5S_rRNA 5S ribosomal RNA